AUCCAAGGUCUGGACUCACCCUGACACCCUGUGAACUCAAGGCCUUCCCUACCUCACCCUGGGCCCAGAGCCCCUACCUGUAAAGUGGAAGUGGGAAUGGUCACCAGCCAGGCAGAAACCCUCACUUAGGGCCUCAUGGCCAGGCAUCAGGGCAGUCAGGAGAGGGGCCGAGGUAAGCCACGGAGGCCCUGCCUGUCUUGGUAUCCCACCAUCACCAGGAGGGGACUGCAUGGGCAUCACACCCCUCACAGAUGAACAAAGUGAGGCAGAGAAGGGCCUCAAGGAGUGAACAGCUGACAGGGGAGCCACGAACAGCCUGGAGAGCUGAGCAUGGGCCUGCUCCACACUCCAGCGGGACCCGAGGCCCUCGGGAACUCUACCCCUCCUGGCAGCCUCACAGAACCUGCUGCCUCCAUCUCAAAAGGCAUACCUCCUCCAGGAAGCCUUCCCCGCUGCUCAGGUCUUAAAUCCAGGGUCUGCACUCACAAACUGUGCAGCCUACACCAGCUUCCGGGGGACAGCAGCAUACUGUGGGGGGCCUGGCACAGUCCCUGGCACAUGGUAGGCAGUCAUCGAGCCCCUGCCAGCCCCUCUACUCCUGACUUCUGAGGCAACAGGAAAUGACCCACCACCUUGUUCUCACACAGCCUCCCUGCCAGCCCAGAUGGUCACAAGGGCCUCCUGGGAUGCUGCCCACCUUGGCAGCCAGGCCCCUCCGGAAGGGCCAGUCUGGGCCUGACACCCCUGACCACCAACACCCUGGGCAGAGCCUGCCUGUGCCUGGGUGAAGAAUCCUGCAUUCUCCUUGCCACACAAGGCCUGGGUCUGCCUUGGGGGCCCAGGCUCCACCCUCUCCCACCCCCAGGCCCAAUGCCUGACCUGUGCCCACCUGACUCAACCUGGCUACUGUUCAGCAAGUUUACAAAAUGUUCUCAGUCUGAA